rnacentral:rRNA from 1 species
CUGGCGGCAUGCCUAACACAUGCAAGUCGAACGAGACCUUCGGGUCUAGUGGCGCACGGGUGCGUAACGCGUGGGAACCUGCCUUUAGGUUCGGGAUAACAGUUGGAAACGACUGCUAAUACCGAAUGAUGUCUUCGGACCAAAGGUUUAUCGCCUUUAGAUGGGCCCGCGUUGGAUUAGGUAGUUGGUGGGGUAAAGGCCUACCAAGCCGACGAUCCAUAGCUGGUCUGAGAGGAUGAUCAGCCACACUGGGACUGAGACACGGCCCAGACUCC